rnacentral:rRNA from 1 species
GACGUAGGGCGCGAGCGUUGUCCGGAUUUAUUGGGCGUAAAGAGCUCGUAGGCGGCCCUGUAAGUCCGCUGUGAAAGUCAAGGGCUCAACCCUUGGAUGCCGGUGGAUACUGCAGGGCUAGAGUCCGGAAGAGGCGAGUGGAAUUCCUGGUGUAGCGGUGAAAUGCGCAGAUAUCAGGAGGAACACCGAUGGCGAAGGCAGCUCGCUGGGACGGUACUGACGCUGAGGCGCGAAAGCGUGGGGAGCAAACAGG